UACAGAGGGGGCAAGCGUUGUUCGGAAUUACUGGGCGUAAAGGGCGCGUAGGCGGCCUUCUAAGUCGAACGUGAAAUCCCUGGGCUCAACCCAGGAACUGCGUCCGAUACUGAAAGGCUUGAAUCCGGGAGAGGGAUGCGGAAUUCCAGGUGUAGCGGUGAAAUGCGUAGAUAUCUGGAGGAACACCAAUGGCGAAGGCAGCUCGCUGGGACGUUACUGACGCUGAGGAGCGAAAGCGUGGGUAGCAAACAGG
rnacentral:rRNA from 1 species